GCCUUUAUAACUCAAUGGUAGAGUAAUAUACUGUUAAUAUAUCGGUUAGAUGUUCGAGUCAUCUUGAAGGCG
rnacentral:tRNA from 1 species